UGUGAGGUAAUGCAGGAUUGGUUGCUCAAGUCUCCUGUCCUAUCUUCCUCAGUCAAGAAAAUCAAUUCUCUUGAAGACCCUCCUUAAUCCCGUUUUUCGCUGGCCACAAAGGCCACUUGUGUGCGACCCCGCUGGACUAUGGACUGGGAUGAUGUGGAUGUCUGCUCGGAUUCCAGCUCUUUCAGUCAGUUUGCUGAGGAGUGACAUACUGCAUACCUCAUUAUGGCACAUAAUUUCUGGGGGUCUAUGCCGAAACAGCAAGUGUCUCAGUAACCCUGUCAUCCCGUGAAAGUGCAGGUAUGAUGUUGAGAUCCAGCUUUGACACAUGGGACAGUUGAAGGCCUCACGCAGAAUUCAUAAAACAUUGCAAACAUCUGAUGCUUGAGGAGGCAAGGCACAAUAUUAAAGGGUGACGCUGUCAACAGUGACGUGGUGGGGUUCCUGCAGCAUGCAGCCGUGGAUGUGAUUCACGAGUAAAUAAAUAAAAGAUAAGGACCUGAGCUUCAGAGCCAUUAAAGCUGUGACAUUAUAUAAGCAUAGAGUCUUUCUUUUUCUUUAUUUAAUGGAUCAGCAUGUGCUCGACCCCUAACCAAAAUGCAUUUUGUGUUUUGCAAGUCAUGUGAGCUGUUGCAAUCUGAAUUAUUUUUUCUUUUGUAAAAGGGAAGAUCAUAUACAGAAUACUGUAAUUAAUAAUAUUACUUACAGAAAUGCUUGCUGUAGUAACCUCUCAUACAAUGUUUAAAACAAAAGAUAUGUUUAAAUCAACAUUUUGAGUCAAAAUUAAAGGAAAAACCAUAAGUUCACUUAGGACUGAUCAUUAGCUAAGGAUCUGGAAAUCAUGAAAAGGUAAAUGGCAGCUUAUGUGUCCCAGAUGAGAAGGAGGGCAAACGGUAAUCAUAAUUAGGCUUCCAGAAAUCAGUGAUGACACAGAUGUCUUCCCCAUUAUGAAUAUUCUGGUCAUUAGUGAAGAGCAGAAGGCAGCUGUUAGAGGUUUAUGGCACCAAGCCUCACUCACAGAGAAAGCAGUCUGUCUGGAGCCCGGAAGCAAUGUGAAGAUUAUUAGUCAUCAACGUGUGUAUCACAGCUCAAGUAUGUGAGAUAAAGCUCUUAAGAUGUUAG
ensembl:lncRNA